rnacentral:rRNA from 1 species
AGAGUUUGAUCAUGGCUCAGAUUGAACGCUGGCGGCAGGCCUAACACAUGCAAGUCGAGCGGAAACGAGUUAUCUGAACCUUCGGGGAACGAUAACGGCGUCGAGCGGCGGACGGGUGAGUAAUGCCUAGGAAAUUGCCCUGAUGUGGGGGAUAACCAUUGGAAACGAUGGCUAAUACCGCAUAAUGCCUACGGGCCAAAGAGGGGGACCUUCGGGCCUCUCGCGUCAGGAUAUGCCUAGGUGGGAUUAGCUAGUUGGUGAGGUAAUGGCUCACCAAGGCGACGAUCCCUAGCUGGUCUGAGAGGAUGAUCAGCCACACUGGAACUGAGACACGGUCCAGACUCCUACGGGAGGCAGCAGUGGGGAAUAUUGCACAAUGGGCGCAAGCCUGAUGCAGCCAUGCCGCGUGUGUGAAGAAGGCCUUCGGGUUGUAAAGCACUUUCAGUCGUGAGGAAGGUAGUGUAGUUAAUAGCUGCAUUAUUUGACGUUAGCGACAGAAGAAGCACCGGCUAACUCCGUGCCAGCAGCCGCGGUAAUACGGAGGGUGCGAGCGUUAAUCGGAAUUACUGGGCGUAAAGCGCAUGCAGGUGGUUUGUUAAGUCAGAUGUGAAAGCCCGGGGCUCAACCUCGGAAUAGCAUUUGAAACUGGCAGACUAGAGUACUGUAGAGGGGGGUAGAAUUUCAGGUGUAGCGGUGAAAUGCGUAGAGAUCUGAAGGAAUACCGGUGGCGAAGGCGGCCCCCUGGACAGAUACUGACACUCAGAUGCGAAAGCGUGGGGAGCAAACAGGAUUAGAUACCCUGGUAGUCCACGCCGUAAACGAUGUCUACUUGGAGGUUGUGGCCUUGAGCCGUGGCUUUCGGAGCUAACGCGUUAAGUAGACCGCCUGGGGAGUACGGUCGCAAGAUUAAAACUCAAAUGAAUUGACGGGGGCCCGCACAAGCGGUGGAGCAUGUGGUUUAAUUCGAUGCAACGCGAAGAACCUUACCUACUCUUGACAUCCAGAGAACUUUCCAGAGAUGGAUUGGUGCCUUCGGGAACUCUGAGACAGGUGCUGCAUGGCUGUCGUCAGCUCGUGUUGUGAAAUGUUGGGUUAAGUCCCGCAACGAGCGCAACCCUUAUCCUUGUUUGCCAGCGAGUAAUGUCGGGAACUCCAGGGAGACUGCCGGUGAUAAACCGGAGGAAGGUGGGGACGACGUCAAGUCAUCAUGGCCCUUACGAGUAGGGCUACACACGUGCUACAAUGGCGCAUACAGAGGGCAGCAAGCUAGCGAUAGUGAGCGAAUCCCAAAAAGUGCGUCGUAGUCCGGAUUGGAGUCUGCAACUCGACUCCAUGAAGUCGGAAUCGCUAGUAAUCGUGGAUCAGAAUGCCACGGUGAAUACGUUCCCGGGCCUUGUACACACCGCCCGUCACACCAUGGGAGUGGGCUGCAAAAGAAGUAGGUAGUUUAACCUUCGGGAGGACGCUUACCACUUUGUGGUUCAUGACUGGGGUGAAGUCGUAACAAGGUAGCGCUAGGGGAACCUGGCGCUG